AUUGUAGCUUUAGCAAGGUUAUAGAAAAUCAUAGGAACAUGAUAUAUUAAAAGUUAAGUCUAUUAUAUUUAUCAAAUGAAUUCUUAGAGAAGUAUCUAUCUUUAUUAUUAUUAUUUUUGGGUAAGGAGAUUAUGUACAUAUGCUCUUAAUUAUAUAAUUCGAAGUUACUAAAUUUCUCUAACUAUAAGAUAGUUGUCAUAAAUUUCUUUCAUUACAAAUUUCGAGGACGAAUUUUUUUUUAAGAGGGGUAGUAAUGUAACACCCCAAAUUUUAUAAACUAGUAUUUUCCUUAUAUUAUUAAUUUUAGUAUUUUUAUAAAAUAAAUUUGAUCAUUUAGUUAUAUUUUUAUAAUAGUUUGUGAAAAUAAUACAUUCAAUGAGUAUACAAUAUCAUGUUAGUCCUAGUUACAUGUCUAAAGCGUGAGAAUGUUUAAAUAAUUAUUUUCUUGAAAAUAAACUUUAGAUAAAGAAAACCUAUAGAUCUAAUCUAUUAAAUUAAUGUAAACUAUGGUUGAAAUUUUAGAACUGAGAGUGUAAAAGUAUACACCGUUAAAAAUAAAUAGUUUAUAAAAAUAUGUCGGAAAUAAAUAGUUUAUUUCCGAAUUAUUUUAUGUGUUUGAUAGUAUAUUUAUCUUGUGUAUGCUGCUAAUUAAUAUUUUCUCUAGACUGUGAAUUUAAGAAAAAUAAUUUUAGAAAUCAAUCAUGAAAUAUUUUAGUAGGCUAUGAUAAAAAUUUGGGAUUAAAAUUCUACCGAAUUUCGGACAGUGGGUAACUCGAUAGUAUAAAUUUAUAUCACUGAAAACGAAAAGAAAAACAUCUUUUAGACCAGAAAAAUAUCUAUGUUAUUAAAAUUAAAUGAAAAAUAAAAUGAAAGAUUAAGAGAUAAGCAUGCAUUUAAUUUUAAGAUAAGAACUACACCUAUGCAUACAAGGUGGCUAAUUUUUCUUCACAAAUUGAAAGUGAAAACGUGGACUGAGAAUUUACCAUGUAGCAGUAGAAUUAGAAAUCUAUAAAUAGGGUCUUAACAUUCACUUUUUACACACAAUUAUCACUCUCACAACUCACACAAAGCUAGGAAAUUCAAUUAAGGUAUCAUAGAAGAAGGUGAUCGUUCAAGUUAUUUUGGAAAGCUCUGAGUUAGUGCAGGAUUCUAAGACCUCAAGUUGAAGUUCAUUGAGAAAAGAAAAAUAGCAUUGUGAGAGACAUUAAAAUAAAGAACGUUAGUGCUGAUUGGUGGUCUGGUUUUAUUUUUUUGAAGUCCGAAGAGAAAGAUCUCUUUGACAUGUAUUGAUGACGUCAUUGGAGUACUCUCUAGGUGACAUGUAUCUUUAGUGUUUGACCAGCUUAUGAUCAUUUGUGGGUUAGAGUCUUUUGUAGGAAUUUAUCUUUUUAUCAUUUUAAAUUGAAAAAUUGUACGAUACUUAUGUGAAAUGGAAAUGUUUUAGAUUU